rnacentral:rRNA from 1 species
CCCUUAGAUGUUCUGGGCUGCACGCGCGCUACACUGAAGCUAUCAACACGUUUUCCCUCCCUGAGAAGGGCGGGUAACCUUUUGAAUCAGCUUCGUGGUAGGGAUCGGGGCUUGCAAUUGUUCCCCGUGAACCAGGAAUUCCUAGUAGACGCGAGUCAUAAGCUCGCAUCGAUCAAGUCCCUGCCCUUUGUACACACCGCCCGUCGCUACUACCGAUUGAACGUUUUAGUGAGGCAUUUGGACCGACGCAUCUCAGUUUAACCGCUGGUUUGUGUUGGAAAGACUUCCAAACUUGAGCGUUUAGAGGAAGUAAAAGUCGUAACA